GUUGUGUGAGUCUAAUGACAUCUC
rnacentral:siRNA from 1 species